GCUGUUAUAGCACUCUGACUGAAGUCUGUUAAAAUUCUUGAAAAACUGCAGACGGAAACAUCUAGAAAGAAGAAAGACUGGAUAUGGCACCCAAGAAUAAAUCUGUACCCUGCAAGCCACCAAACACUGAUGCAGAAAAUGAGGGAAGUUUGGAUUGCAGGCUGCAAGACCACCUGCACAGCAUGCAAUUGUACAGGUACCAUGCUUUAUUUGGGGUUGAAGAACUAUGGAUCCUAACAGUCAGAAGCCCAUAUAGACAUAGAGAGAACAUGUCAGCUUCACACAGACAAUGAUUGGAAGCCAGGAAUCAACCCCAUAUCCCGCACUUCUGUGUCACAAACCAUAACCACUGAAUCAUCAUUGUGAUAAAAAUAAAAGUUUAAAAUAGUAUCUAUGAGACAAGACGGAUGUGACAGAAAAUAAAAAUUUCUAAAAUAUAUUUGAAAAAAAGGCACUCUGGACUUCUGUAAUUGUUCUUCCUGCAAGUUUAUCUUUACCACUGACAAAUUUCAGUAUGAUGUGAAUAAACAGAUGUUUUUGAAAUAAAUCCAAACGUAGAUUGCAUUAUUGCUAAUGUAAUUUAUGUGAACGUUUGCACAGCUGACAAGCCUCUUAGAUCAAAAAGUAGAAUGCUGUUUAAAACUAUAUUAUUGUACAUGUGAACUAUAUAAGGGUGGGCUCUGAGACAAGUGCAUUGUGUUAUUAACUCAUAUGCCAGAAGCACAAAUUUAAAUCAGGGUGAGAGGGGGAUUCUACAGAAUGUGGAAAAUCCGUCAUAUCUAGGUGAUACUAAUUAUUGCAAAAUGGAACAUUAUAAAAUGCAAACUCUGCUGCAGGCUACUAAAAAGCGUCUAGAUUAAAUGAAUCAGUUUUGACCAAGCCAGUAUUACAGAAAAGCAUGCUAAAGCAUUAGCUAAUUAAUUUAAUCUAAUUUAACUGAUUUCUGAUGGAGCAGAGCCUGUACUUAUGUUAGAUAUUUUAAAGCUGCUGUAAUCUGAAGUGUUGUGUGUGAAA